CCUACGGGUGGCAGCAGUGGGGAAUAUUGGGCAAUGGAGGAAACUCUGACCCAGCAAUGCCGCGUGAGUGAAGAAGGUCUUCGGAUUGUAAAGUUCUUUAGUCAGGGAAGGAUAAAAUGACGGUACCUGAAGAAUAAGCUCCGGCUAACUACGUGCCAGCAGCCGCGGUAAUACGUAGGGAGCAAGCGUUGUUCGGAAUGGCUGGGCGUAAAGGGUGCGUAGGCGGUUAUACAAGUUAGAAGGGAAAUACCCAGGGCUUAACUUGGGUGCUGCUUCUAAAACUGUAAGACUUGAGUGCAGGAGAGGUUAGUGGAAUUCCUAGUGUAGCGGUGGAAUGCGUAGAUAUUAGGAGGAACACCAGUGGCGAAGGCGGCCUGCUGGGCUUUUACUGACGCUGAGGCUCGAAAGUGUGGGGAGCAAACAGGAUUAGAUACCCCAGUAGUC
rnacentral:rRNA from 1 species